UAAGCUCGUGGUACACGCUUAGUUCCUUUAUUUUUAAUUAGCUCUUUACUUGUGUUUGUAGAUUGCUCUGGCUGGCUGGCAAUUUUUAUGCGUGUGUAUCUGUUGCUCUGUUUCCUGUGUGCAUUGGUUGGUUAUCAUGUGUGCUAAUCGAGCGUUCAGCAGCAUUAAUUUGCAGGUCGCCCUUGGCUGUUGGUAAGCUCGUGGUAUACGCUUAGUUCCUUUAUUUUUAAUUAUCUCUUUACUUGUGUUUGUAGAUUGCUCUGGCUGGCUGGCAAUUUCUAUGCGUGUGUAUCUGUUGCUCUGUUUCCUGUGUGCAUUGGUUGGUUAUCAUGUGUGCUAAUCGAGCAUUCAGCAGCAUUAAUUUGCAGGUUGCCCUUGGUUGUUGAUUGCUCUGGCUGACUGGUAAUUUCUAUGCGUGUGUAUCUGUUGCUCUGUUUCCUGUGUGCACUGGUGGUUAUCAUGUGUGCAAAUCAAGCGUUCAGCAGCAUUAAUUUGCAGGUUGCCCUUCAUUGUUGACUGCUCUGGCCGGCUGGCAAUAUUUAUGCGUGUGUUUCUGUUACCGUAUUUGAUGUGUGCACUGGUUGGCUAUCACGCGUUUUAAUCGAGUGUUCAGCUACGAGGUGCCUCAGUGUUGCUCCGAAAAACUCCAGACCUGUGCAGUUCCUACUCACCAUGUUCUUGGUAGGACAAAUAUCGUAAACAGUAGAAGACAUGUGCAACA